GAGUAGACCCGAAACCGGGUGAUCUAGCCAUGGGCAGGUUGAAGAUGCGGUAACACGCAUUGGAGGACCGAACCCACGCCUGUUGAAAUAGGCGGGGAUGACCUGUGGCUAGGGGUGAAAGGCCAAUCAAACCCGGAGAUAGCUGGUUCUUUGCGAAAACUAUUUAGGUAGUGCGUCAGUUAUAACUGUCGGGGGUAGAGCACUGGAUGGGCUAGGGGGGCGCGAGCCUUACCAAACCUAACCAAACUCCGAAUACCGGCAAGUUGAGACUGGCAGACAGUCCAUGGGUGCUAAGGUCCGUGGACGAGAGGGAAACAGCCCAGACCACCAGCUAAGGUCCCCAAAUUAUGGCUAAGUGGGAAAGGAUGUGGGAAGGCCAUGACAGCCAGGAGGUUGGCUUAGAAGCAGCCAUCCUUUAAAGAAAGCGUAACAGCUCACUGGUCUAGAUAAGCCGGCCUGCGCCGAAGAUGUAACGGGGCUAAAGCCAUAUACCGAAGCUGUGGAUGCAACGUAAGUUGCAUGGUAGCAAAGCGUUCCGUAAGUCUGUGAAGCCUACACCGUGAGGGUAGGUGGAGAUAUCGGAAGUGAGAAUGCUGACAUGAGUAGCGAUAAACAGUGUGAGAGACACUGUCGCCGAAAGCCCAAGGGUUCCUGCUUAAAGCUAAUCUGAGCAGGGUUAGUCGGCCCCUAAGACGAGGGCGAAAGCCGUAGUCGAUGGGAACACGGUUAAUAUUCCGUGACCUGAUGGUUGUGACGAAUGGCUAGCAUUGUACACACUUAUCGGAUUGUGUGUGCAUCAAGGCCGUUCCAGGAAAUAGCACCAUCAUUAAGACCGUACCCCAAACCGACACAGGUGGGCAGGUAGAGCAUACUAAGGCGCUUGAGAGAACGAUGUUGAAGGAACUCGGCAAAUUGCCCCCGUAACUUCGGGAGAAGGGGGGCCUGUGUUUGGGCAACCAGAUACAGGUGGCACAGAAUAGGGGGUGGCGACUGUUUAUUAAAAACACAGGGCUCUGCGAAGUAGUAUAUACGACGUAUAGGGUCUGACGCCUGCCCGGUGCCGGAAGGUUAAGAGGAGGUGUGAGAGCUCCGAAUUGAAGCCCCGGUAAACGGCGGCCGUAACUAUAACGGUCCUAAGGUAGCGAAAUUCCUUGUCGGGUAAGUUCCGACCU
rnacentral:rRNA from 1 species